rnacentral:rRNA from 1 species
UACAGAGGUCUCAAGCGUUGUUCGGAUUCAUUGGGCGUAAAGGGUGCGUAGGUGGCGGGGUAAGUCAGGUGUGAAAUCUCGGAGCUCAACUCCGAAACUGCACUUGAUACUGCCUUGCUUGAGUACUGGAGAGGAGAUUGGAAUUUACGGUGUAGCAGUGAAAUGCGUAGAUAUCGUAAGGAAGACCAGUGGCGAAGGCGAAUCUCUGGACAGCUACUGACACUGAGGCACGAAGGCCAGGGGAGCAAACGGG